rnacentral:rRNA from 1 species
CCUACGGGAGGCAGCAGUGGGGAAUAUUGCGCAAUGGGCGAAAGCCUGACGCAGCGACGCCGCGUGAGGGAUGAAGGUCUUCGGAUCGUAAACCUCUGUCAGCAGGGAAGAACGGUCACUGUGCUAAUCAGCAGUGCAUUGACGGUACCUGCAAAGGAAGCACCGGCUAACUCCGUGCCAGCAGCCGCGGUAAUACGGAGGGUGCGAGCGUUAAUCGGAAUUACUGGGCGUAAAGCGCUCGUAGGCGGUAUGUUAAGUCAAGGGUGAAAGCCCCGCGCUCAACGUGGGAGCGGCCUUUGAAACUGGGAAACUGGAGUGUGUGAGAGGAUAGUGGAAUUCCAGGUGUAGGAGUGAAAUGCGUAGAUAUCUGGAGGAACAUCAGUGGCGAAGGCGACUAUCUGGUACAUAACUGACGCUGAGGAGCGAAAGCGUGGGUAGCAAACAGGAUUAGAUACCCGAGUAGUC